rnacentral:rRNA from 1 species
CCUACGGGUGGCUGCAGUGGGGAAUAUUGGACAAUGGGGGCAACCCUGAUCCAGCCAUGCCGCGUGUGUGAAGAAGGCCCUCGGGUUGUAAAGCACUUUCAGUGAGGAAGAACGCCUGGUGGUUAAUACCCAUCAGGAAAGACAUCACUCACAGAAGAAGCACCGGCUAACUCCGUGCCAGCAGCCGCGGUAAUACGGAGGGUGCGAGCGUUAAUCGGAAUUACUGGGCGUAAAGCGCGCGUAGGUGGCUUGAUAAGCCGGUUGUGAAAGCCCCGGGCUCAACCUGGGAACGGCAUCCGGAACUGUCAAGCUAGAGUGCAGGAGAGGAAGGUAGAAUUCCCGGUGUAGCGGUGAAAUGCGUAGAGAUCGGGAGGAAUACCAGUGGCGAAGGCGGCCUUCUGGACUGACACUGACACUGAGGUGCGAAAACGUGGGUAGCAAACAGGAUUAGAUACCCUUGUAGUC